rnacentral:rRNA from 1 species
GACGAACGCUGGCGGCGUGCCUAACACAUGCAAGUCGAACGAUGAAGAAAAGAAUUGAAGCUUCGGCAGAAAUUCAUUUCGGAUUAGUGGCAGACGGGUGAGUAACGCGUGAGCAACCUACCUCUUACAAAGGGAUAGCCUCGGGAAACCGGGAUUAAUACCAUAUAACAUUGCGACGAAGCAUUUCGAUGCAAUCAAAGCUACGGCGGUAAGAGAUGGGCUCGCGUCCCAUUAACCAGAUGGUGAGGUAACGGCUCACCAUAGUAACGAUGGGUAACCGGGCGGAGAGGGUGAACGGUCACACUGGAACUGAGGCACGGUCCAGACUCCUACGGGAGGCAGCAGUGGGGUAUAUUGCACGAUGGAGGGAACUCUGAUGCAGCGACGCCGCGUGAGUGAUGAAGGAAGUCGUUUCGUAAAACUCUGUUCUAUGGGAAGAAAAGGACUGUACCAUAGGAGAAAGCUCCGGCUAAAUACGUG